rnacentral:lncRNA from 1 species
UCUUUUAAUAAGUUGAGUGGUGAAAUUCCAUCUAAACUCAAUAUUCUAACCACACUUGAAGUAUUAAGUGUGGCACACAACAACUUAUCAGGCCCAAUACCUGAAUGGACAAAUCAAUUUGCCACAUUUGAUGAGAGUAGCUAUGAGGGUAACCCAUUUCUUUGUGGACCUCCAUUACCAAAGAGUUGUCAUCCAACUCCUAGAGUUAUUUCAAAUGACUUGGAUUCUGACAAAGACAAUGAUAGGUUGGUAGAUAUGUAUAUCUUUUAUGUGAGCUUUGUUGUAUCAUACACGUUAGCAUUGUUAACAACUGCAGCAGCUCUAUGCAUCAAUCCUUCCUGGACACAAGCAUAGUUUAACUACAUGAAAUUUGUCAAUUUUAAAUUGUUACUACUUUAUCGUGGACAAUUUUUUAAAUUUUGUAAUACUAAAAAUAUGUAACAUGUAUAUUUAUUUCGUUGUUUUCUUUUAAAAGUGACUUAAUAAAAAAAAAGUCAUGCAUGUGUGGCUUAAUAUAAUAAUAUGAAAUCUAAAUUUUGUAUUCAUUAAUGUUAAGGAUUUUUUUAGUCUUUUAAGUUCUUCAUUAUACUGUGAGAGAAUCUAGAUAAGAUAUUUUUUUAUAUCACAUCAAUUAAUAUUAAGACUUCAUAUGUUUUUAGUAUUUAUAAAACAGGUUAACUUGGUUGAGGUGAAAAAAUUUGUAGUCUAUAUAAAAUCAUGAUAUUUUAUUUUAGUCUUUAAAAUCUUGUUUUUAGUAUCUAUGUCUUAGAAUCUGAACGAGACAAAGUUAUGAUUUAAUAAAAAUUAAAAGUGAUUUAAUUUUUUAUUUAAUAGUAAGAACUUGCUAACAGAAAAUUAUGGAAACUAAAAGUUUUAGUGAAAUGUAGUAGAAAUUAAAAAAUUACUCUAUUUAAAAGAACACUUGAAUCCCUUAAUAAUAAUUUAAAAUCAUGAUUCACUUAAAAUUUUAUACGAUUUAUUUUCCACACGCAUUAUUUUUUACCCACCACCCAUUUGUAUGUAGUAUCUAUCUGUUACUCGAAAACACAUUAUUAAUGUUACAGUAAAAAAAUUAUUAAAUAUAAUUAAUUCAAUAUAUUACAAAAAAAUUUAUUAAAUAUAAAUCAAUUUUAGAGAAAAAUAAUAAUAAUAAUUAAUUAAUUAAAUUAGAUACUAUUUUAGAUAUUAAAAAAAUUAUUAGUAUCUAAAUUAAUUUCUCUUUUUAAUAAAUAAUUUCUAAAUUAAUAUUUAAUUAAUUAUCAAAGUUUUAGUUAUUAACUUAAGAAUCUAAAUAAUUGGUAACAAAAAUAUUUAUAACUAAUUAGAUACCUAUUUAACUACUAUUUAUAAAUAACAACAACUAAUUUAAAUACCAAAAAUUUUUAGUCUCGACAAUAGUAUCUAAUUUAGUUAAUAUAACUAAUUAUUUUUUUGUCUCUAAACGUUGUUUGUAUUUAAUGAUUAGUGUUACUUUAUGAUUUCACAGAAGUAUAUUACUACACUAUGAACAUAAACUAUAUAUUUUUUUCAUAACUAGGGAUGUUAAGGAAUUUAGCUGUUGUUAUACAAGCCAAGGACUCAAAGUUACAUUCAGUUACGAUUCCUAUUGAUAAUCAUCAUGUGGAGAUCUCUGCUCUUGUGGCUUUACCAUCUCCAUUGCGUCCUACCUCACCUCGGAAGGCUAAAUCACCUGCAGAUUCUAAAGCACCAAUUAAUACUCCAAUUGAUAGUCAUCAUGUGGAGGUCUCUACUAUUGUGACUGCACUAUCUUUGUCGCCUCAUACCACCCCUCGGAAGGCUAAAUCUCUUGGGGAUGUUAAAGCACUAUCGUUGGUCCUGCAAAAUCAUUUUUUCUCUCUGAGUGGUUUGGAAACUACAUAUGUUAUUUCAAAAUUUUGGGUUGAUCCUAAUGAGAUGGAGGAGGAUGCCAGUGAUACUGGGGAGAAAAUAGUUUGCACUAAGAGAAAAAACAGGGAGACCACCUAGGGGACUGGUAAAUAAAUAAAAAACUGCUUGGGCAAUUCUCUCUACAACGUUGCAAUGUGGAGAUGUUGAUUAGUUUACUUAAACUACAUAAAACCUCCUAGUUUUUCUUGUUGAACCUAUGAUGUUGUAUACUGAUUCUUUCGACGUCCUUUUCAAAUAUGUUAAUAUGCAUUUGGUGACUACGUCUCCUAUUGUUAAUAAAGCGUCUAAACUGUGGUGUUUGUUGGUUCCUAAUCUUAUCCAAAAUUUCUUAGUCAAUGAUCAGUUUAUUUUUGUAACUUGUCUUCUACAUGAUAAAUGUUUUAGCUUUGUAGGUGUUCAUGCUGCUACCACAUACUUGGUAGAUGAUUUUUGUGGAUGGAUCUUAGUUUCUUCAUAGGGUCGUGGUGUAUUCUGGGAGAUUUUAAAGGGGGCGACUCUUAAUCAGGUUUCCUGUAGUGAAUUCCUUAAUGAUCUUUCUUGUAUGCCUUUUACUGGAUCUUUUUAUACUUGGUGUAAUGGAAGGAGAGGGUUGCAUAGAACUCAUAGAAGAUUGGAUAGGGCUUUAUGUAAUGGAAUGUGUCUGGAUGAAUGAGACUCUUGUACUUAUCAAGUUCUUGUUAAAAACUGUUAUGAUCAUCCCCCUAUUCUUGCUAGUCUUGUAGUAAUUCUUUGAGGAAGGUUAGCAAUUUUCGUUUCUUUUCUAUAUGACUUCAGAACACUUCAUGUCUGAAGCUUAUUCAUGAUUCUUUGGCUAAUAAGGUUGUUCGUUGUCCUAUGCUUAUUUUGCAACAUAAGUUAAAAAUGUUGAAAAUUGACCUCCAAGACUGGAAUAAAAAUUCUUUUGGUAAUGUUCAUAAUGAAGUUCUUCUUAAGCAGGGUCUUCUCCUUGGUAUUCAACAAAACUUAGAGACUGUCAGUUUGUCUAAUAUUGUUGGGCUUCUCUGUCAAGAAAAGAUUGUUAAGGAGGAGUUUGAUCAUGUUCUUCACUGUCAAUAUUUGUUUUGGAAAGAAAUGGCUAAGUUGUUAUGGUUCAAAGAUGGAGAUCGAAAUACUGCUUUUUUCCAUGUUGUGGUCAAAAGGAGAAAUAAUUCUAGUGGGAUUCAUCUUCUACGGAUUGAUAAUAAGGUUACUCAGGAUCCUAAACUCAUUGAGGAUUAUAUUUUGGACUUUUAUAAAAAUCUUUAUGCUGAGUCUAUUUCUAAUGUUCUGGAUACAAGUAAUAUGCUUGGAACUUUGUUUAUAGCAACAAGCCUUGAUCUUUGCUCUUGAAAGUCAGAGUUCUUAAAUCCAAAUACGAUUUUAGAAUGGUUUAUAGAUCCUCAUUUCUUUGGCCUAGAAUUAAGCAAUUUUAUUCUACUAUACUUGAUUAUACUUCUUGGAUGGUUGGUACAGGUUCUUUUAUUAAUUUCUGGAAUGAUAAAUGGUGUUCAACAACUUCUUUAACAAAUAUUGCAGCGUUAUCUGAUGGUGCUAGCAUUCCGGAUCUAGUCUCUCAGUUUUGGACAAGUUGUGAUUGGAAUAUUCCCUUAUCUGUACAGCAGAUGCCUCAUUUUUUUUUAAUCAUAUCAUGGUUAGGGAGGAACAAGAUAUUUCUAAUUGGAUUCUAUAUGAUUCUAUUCGUUUAACUCUUAAACUGGUUAGGACUUUUAUCUUGGAACCAGGAGUUCUCUGUGGUUGGGGUAAAUUCAUUUGGUCUUCAUCUAUUCCGGCUUCCAAAACUAUGGUACUCUGGAAAGUUUUUCAUGGGCAGCUUCCGACAGAUCAAUAUAUUCAUAAUAAAGGUUUGCAUAUAUGUUCUAUGUGUACGCUUUGUGAAAAGCAUGAGGAAUCUAUCCAACAUUUAUUUUUUAAUGUUCUAAUGUCUUACAUAUUUGGAGUUGGGUUUGGCAGAUUUUUCUUACUUCUCAUUUCUCUAAUAAAGUUGAUUUUCUUUCCUUUAUUAAGAGCGAAGGUAGUCCUUUGGUUAAAUUGAUUAAGCUUGUUGUCAAAACUUUUUCUAUUUGGAUGACGUAUGAGGAAUUAUGCUAGACUUCAGGAUAAGAUUGAGCUAUUUCGAUUAUUAAAGAUUUAACUUGUCUAGUGGGAAAUUCGUCUAAAGCUUCAAUGAAGAAUGAUAUGUUGGAUUUCAAAGUGAUUAUGUUUUUUGGUAUUAAUACUCAUAGUGGUAAAGUUCUUCGUCAUCUUCCUGUUAGAUGGGAUUUUCCUUCACCAGGUUGGGUUAAAAUUAACACUGAUGGUGCUGCUAGGAGUAUCCUGGUCUUGCUACUUGUGGAGGUAUUUUCCAUAGGAGUAUAGGGGAGUUUAUUUGUGCUUUCUCUGCAUUUUUUGAAGUUCAAACUUCUAUGGCUGCUGAGUUUUAUGAAGUUAUACAUGCUAUGGAGGAAGCUCAAAAGAUGGGGCUUACUAAUGUGUCUGGCUUGAAUGUGAUUAUGUGUUGGUUUAUGUUGCGUUUACUGCUAGGACUAAUGUUUCGCGAAUGCUUCGUAAUCAAUGAAAUACUUGUCUUAAUUAUUGUGUGAAAAUCAGGUUCGUGGUUACUCAUAUUUUUCAUGAAGAAAAUGCGUGUGCUGAUAAAUGAGCUAAUUUAGGAUUUAUUCAUAGAGAAUCAUUUCAUUGAUAUAAUAGACUUCCAUCUAGUAUGUUAUUAGAAUUAUUUAUGAAUAGGUAUAAUCUACCUAUGUAUUGUUUUUGUUAACAUAUAGAUUUUAGUCUAGUCCCCUCAUAUUUUUGUAUUUUUUUUAAUAAUACUUUUUUUACUGUGAUAGCAAAUGAUUGUUAUUACUUGAGGUGUCAAUCUAGUUGAGAUUUCAAGUUGUAUAGUGAUGCCUAAUAUGAAAGUUUUUAUAAAAAAAAACAUAAACUAUAUAUUGUUUUAUAAUUUUUUAUUAAUCAUUUUAUAUCCAAUAAAUAUUGAAUAUGUUUAUAAAAAAUUAAACCCAUUCUGUUAUGUUCCAAUACAAUAUAUAAAAAUUAAUACAAUUUAUAAACUAAGAAAUAAUCAUUGAUAUAGCAUAUAAUACCAUUUUUCUAACUAAUUGAGCAAGAUCAUUCUUCUUCUUAUGAAAUAGUAAUUGUAAUGGCACCUAAAGAAAAAAGAAAAAAGAGAAUAAAGAAUAGAGUGUAACUGGUGCCGAACACGAGCUAAAUAUGACUCUACUUAGCUAACAGACCCCAUGUAAGGUAAACAAAAUACAUGAGAAGAGCUAUAAAAAUUACUGUUUUAAUUUGCUCUCUAUGGUUAGAGUAUCUCAUUACAUAAGAGACAUAAUACUAACUCAUUAAAACACACAUCACAUAAUAUAUUAUGGUAACUUAAUAUUUAAUAUGACACCUAUAAAAAGGAUUUUACUGUAAAAUUAGUAACAAAUGUGACUCACAACACAGUUUGCAAACUUGGAUUCCUAAAUUUCUGUUAGUGGAGCUUAGCUUAUCUUCAACCAUUGAAACUAGUUCUUUUCAGCUUCCCAAAUUUCUUCUUUAUCAAAAAUAUUUAACUAGUAUAGAUUUUAGUAGUUUGAAGUUGGAAGGAGGGUUUCCUAAUUGGUUGUUAGAAAACAACACAAGGUUAACUGAAGUUGUUUUUAGAAAUUGUUCUUUGAAUGGUACUAUGCAAAUACCAUUGCGCCCCCUUCUUGAGUUACGAAGUAUUGAUGUGUCUAGCAAUACCAUAAUUGGUGAAAUCCCAAGCAAGAAUAUCAGUUUUAUUUAUCCAAAUUUGAGAUAUUUAAACAUGUAUAGAAACCACAUCCAAGGUUCAAUUUCUCGUGAGUUUGGCCGAAUGAAGUUGUAUUUGUUGGAUCUUUCAGACAACCAAUUGUUAGGAAAAAUAUCAGAGGACACAUUCGAAGCUUGGCACCAACUUCAUUUCUUGGAACUCUCAAAUAAUAAGUUGGAGGGACCCAUUUUUACAAUACCCACUAGUUUGGAGUUUUUAUCAUUGAAUGAUAAUAACUUUAGUGGUAGACUUCCUACGAACAUUUUUAACACAUCCAUUGUCUCAUUGGAUGUAAGCAAUAAUCAUUUGGUAGGAAAGAUUCCAAGACUUCAGAAUAAUUUAUCAACACUAUGGGAAAUUCGUAUGUCCAAUAACCACUUUGAAGGAUUCAUUCCGUUAGAAUUAACACAACUUGAAGAUCUAAAAUAUUUAAAUCUCUCCCAAAAUAAUUUGUCUGGUCUUGUACCAUCAUUUAUAAAUUCUUCUGUGAAAUUUAUCCAUUUGAGCAAUAAUCAUUUAGUAGGAUUGCCCAAAAAAAUGUUCACUGAAAACUCUUCUCUAGUGAUGUUGGACCUUAGUUACAACGAAAUAUCUGGUGGCAUUCAAGAUAUGAUUAAAGACCUCAGUUAUUCAAAGUUGAAUUUUCUCCUUUUAAAAGGUAAUCACAUUUAUGGGGAUAUACUUAAGCAAUUAUGUCAAUUGAUAAAUUUAACCAUGCUAGAUCUUUCAGACAAUAAACUUUUGGGAGAAAUUCCACAUUGCUUGGGAACAAUGCCUUUUGAUAUUAACAACCUUGAUCCAUUAUUAAAAGCAUCCAAGGGAAGUUUUGUUGAAGAAUAUAGUCUACGACAAUCACAAACAGAGCAUAAGAAAGAGAAAGCAAGUUUCACUUCAAAGAAAAGAAUUGAUACUUACACGGGAAGCAUCCUUAUUUAUAUGUGUGGAGUUGACUUAUCCAAUAAUAAAUUGAAGGGGAAUAUUCCUUACGAGCUUGGAAACUUGACAAAAAUCCAAACAUUGAACUUGUCUCAUAAUGAUUUGAUUGGACAAAUUCCAUAUUCAUUCUCGAAGUUGAUGCAAAUAGAGAGUUUAGAUCUUUCUUUUAAUAAGUUGAGUGGUGAAAUUCCUUCUAAACUCAAUAUUCUAACCACACUUGAAGUAUUAAGUCUGACACACAACAACUUAUCAGGCCCAAUACCUGAAUGGAGAAAUCAAUUUGCCACAUUUGAUGAGAGCAGCUAUGAGGGUAACCCCUUUCUUUGUGGACCUCCAUUACUAAAGAGUUGUCAUCCAGCUCCUAGAGUUAUUCCAAAUGACUUGGAUUAUGACAAAGACAAUGAUAGGUUGGUACAUAUGUAUGUCUUUUGUGUGAGUUUUCUUGUAUCAUACACGUUAGCAUUGUUAACAACUGCAACA